rnacentral:rRNA from 1 species
AACGAACGCUGGCGGCAGGCCUAACACAUGCAAGUCGAGCGAGGACUUCGGUUCUAGCGGCGGACGGGUGAGUAACGCGUGGGAAUGUGCCCUUCUCUACGGAAUAGCCCUGGGAAACUGGGAGUAAUACCGUAUACGCCCUUUUGGGGAAAGAUUUAUCGGAGCAGGAUCAGCCCGCGUUGGAUUAGGUAGUUGGUAGGGUAAUGGCCUACCAAGCCGACGAUCCAUAGCUGGUUUGAGAGGAUGAUCAGCCACACUGGGACUGAGACACGGCCCAGACUCCUACGGGAGGCAGCAGUGGGGAAUCUUAGACAAUGGGGGCAACGCUGAUCGAGCCAUGCCGCGUGAGUGAUGAAGGCCUUAGGGUUGUAAAGCUCUUUCAGCUGGGAAGAUAAUGACGGUACCAGCAGAAGAAGCCCCGGCUAACUCCGUG